rnacentral:rRNA from 1 species
GACGUAGGGUGCGAGCGUUGUCCGGAUUUAUUGGGCGUAAAGAGCUCGUAGGCGGCUCGUCGCGUCGGCUGUGAAAACCCGCGGCUUAACUGUGGGCUUGCAGCUGAUACGGGCGGGCUAGAGUUCGGUAGGGGAGACUGGAGUUCCUGGUGUAGCGGUGAAAUGCGCAGAUAUCAGGAGGAACACCGGUGGCGAAGGCGGCACUCUGGACCGUAACUGACGCUGAGACACGAAAGCGUGGGUAGCAAACAGG